GGGCACAUGGUGUAGUUGGUUUAUCACGCCCGCUUAGCAUGCAGGAGGUGUUGGGUUCAAUCCCAGUGAAAAGA